UUUCUGUUGUCGUUCGGCCAACUCUCCACGACCACUGAAAUCCACACGGAAAAGUGCCAUUAUGGAGUCAAUGAUCUGCAUUGUAAUCAUGCUAGAUGGUGUGUUUCACUGGUCUAUCUUCCCUCUUCAUAUGGCAAAGCUUUCAUGGAUGUGAGCAGCAUUGAAAAAUAACCAUUUAUAUGAGUUCUCUACUCAAACACAGUUUAUGGAGGGUGCUGCUCACGCGUCUUCCUCAACGAGGCACACACGGCGUGUUUGGAUUGGGUGGCCAAAACCUGUCAGGGAGCUGCAGAAGUGACUUGCCUGGAGUCACAGGACAAGAAAAUGAGGCUGAGUCAUAC